rnacentral:lncRNA from 1 species
AAAAUUAAGUAAGCAUUUGAACUACCAUUCAAGUGAUGAAUGAUAAACUGGUUUUUAUAAUUGUAAAAAGUAAUGUGAAGCCACAAAGCAUCAUUAAAAUAUAAACAUUUAAGGAUGGUUGAUUUAAAAGCAUUAACCAUUUGUUAGACGAGUUUCUGUUGUACCCAGGUACCAAAGAGUAUCUUGAUAUUAACUUCUGUUUUGUUUGUUUUGUUUUUCCCCUAUGCCCUGCAUGGUGAUAAUCAGUUUUUCUUAAGAUGAGAAAUAUUAGGUCUUUGGAAAUGGCCUAUAUUCGGGAACUUUAUCUUCAUUCAUAUGUAGGCUCUGUCUACAUGA